rnacentral:rRNA from 1 species
AGUCUCUUGGAACAGAGCGUCAUAGAGGGUGAGAAUCCCGUCCUUGACAUGGACUCCCAGUGCUUUGUGUUGUGCUCUCAACGAGUCGAGUUGUUUGGGAAUGCAGCUCAAAAUGGGUGGUAAAUUCCAUCUAAAGCUAAAUAUUGGCGAGAGACCGAUAGCGAACAAGUACCGUGAGGGAAAGAUGAAAAGCACUUUGGAGAGAGAGUUAAACAGUACGUGAAAUUGUUGAAAUGGAAACGCUUGAAGUCAGUCGCGUUCUCUGGGAUUCAGCCUUGCUUCUGCUUGGUGCACUUCCUAGUUUACGGGCCAACAUGGAUUUUGACCGGUGGAAAAGGAUUUGGGGAAUGUGGCACCUCCGGGUGUGUUAUAGCCCCUUGUCGCAUACAUCGGAUGGGAUCGAGGUUUCAGUGCACGCUUCGNNUGUGCUUUGAUGNUGGCGUAAUGGCUUUAAACGACCCGUCUUGAAACACGGACC